rnacentral:tRNA from 1 species
GGUUGGGAGUGUAGCUUGGUGGUAGAGUGUUGGCCUAGUGUGCCCGGGGUCCUGUGUUCAAUCCCCAGACCCAACCA